rnacentral:lncRNA from 1 species
GCUCUAGUCAUUCUGUGAGAGGAACUCCAGGAGACCAGAUCCAACUCGCAAUCAGCUAUAGUGAAGUUAUGAUAUGAGAAGCACCAACUUGGCACAAGACUUGGGAAAGGCAAUGAGGCAGCAGGCAAGCUUUAAGGGAUGACACUUACCUUGAGGGAGCAAGGACAAGUUGUGACCUUCCCAGUCCUCUCUCCAUUUGCAGAUCAGCAAGCUUCUGUCAGCAAGGAGGGGUGGACAAUGAAACUGGGUUCAGCUUGAUUUGUUUUUUGAGACAGGUAUGGCAAGGGGCUGCCAACAAGAAUUCCAGUUGCCCAUGAUGUCACAGGCUGAGGCCCACACUCCAGAGACACUGUGGACUGACUGGCACCUAUGAGCUGACCUAAUAACAGUUACACCAUUACAGCUCCGAUUCUACAGAACAAUACAUAUCCAGUUCUUA